rnacentral:rRNA from 1 species
UACGGGGGGUGCGAGCGUUGUCCGGAAUCACUGGGCGUAAAGGGCGCGUAGGUGGCGUCGUAAGUCUGUGGUGAAAGCCCGGAGCUCAACUCCGGGUCUGCCGCGGAUACUGCGAGGCUUGAGUGCUGUAGAGGGGGGUAGAAUGCCGGGUGUAGCGGUGGAAUGCGUAGAGAUCCGGCAGAAGACCGGUGGCGAAGGCGGCCCCCCUGGGCAGUAACUGACACUGAGGCGCGACAGCGUGGGGAGCAAACAGG